GAAAGGUGUAUAAGAACUGCUAACUCCAAUCGCCGAUAUUGACCUACCGGACCUUUCC
rnacentral:tRNA from 1 species